rnacentral:rRNA from 1 species
AUUGAACGCUAGCGGCGUGCCUAAUACAUGCAAGUCGAACGCAGUGGGGACGGGUGAGUAACACGUGGGUAACCUCCCAUCAGAGGGGAUAACACUUGGAAACAGGUGCUAAACCGAUACUGAUGGAUGGACCCGCGGUGCAUUAGCUAGUUGGUGAGGUAACGGCUCACCAAGGCCACGAUGCAUAGCCAACCUGUGAGGGUGAUCGGCCACACUGGGACUUAGACCAGGCCCAGACUCCUCCGGUAGGCAGCAGUAGGGAAUCUUCGGCAAUGGACGAAAGUCUGACCGAGCAACGCGGCGUGAGUGAAGAAGGUUUCCGGAUCGUAAAACUCUUUUGUUAGAGAAGCGGUAUCUAACCAGAAAGCCACGGCUAACUACGUGCCAGCAGCCGCGGUAAUAC